GAAAUAAAAUAAAUUCUAAGAUUUCUUAGAAUUAAAAAUGGGUCGUCCAGUUUUUGUGGUCGCCUAAAAUGCAAGACAAGCUCAUUUCUUGGGUUGCGUGAUACUUUCACAGUUACCUCGUGACUUCACCAGGAAUUUUCAAGCGUGUUGAGAAUUUCGCACGAGCUAAAUUCUAUUUAUCUCGUGCGAAAUAGAAAUUGAA
rnacentral:misc_RNA from 1 species